rnacentral:rRNA from 1 species
UUACCAUGCAGUCGACGGCAGCACGGGUGCUUGCACCUGGUGGCGAGUGGCGAACGGGUGAGUAAUACAUCGGAACGUACCUUGUAGUGGGGGAUAGCUCGGCGAAAGCCGGAUUAAUACCGCAUACGCUCUGAGGAGGAAAGCGGGGGACCUUCGGGCCUCGCGCUAUAAGAGCGGCCGAUGUCAGAUUAGCUAGUUGGUGGGGUAAAGGCCUACCAAGGCGACGAUCUGUAGCUGGUCUGAGAGGACGACCAGCCACACUGGGACUGAGACACGGCCCAGACUCCUACGGGAGGCAGCAGUGGGGAAUUUUGGACAAUGGGCGCAAGCCUGAUCCAGCAAUGCCGCGUGUGUGAAGAAGGCCUUCGGGUUGUAAAGCACUUUUGUCCGGAAAGAAAUCCUCUGGGUUAAUACCUCGGGGGGAUGACGGUACCGGAAGAAUAAGCACCGGCUAACUACGUGCCAGCAGCCGCGGUAAUACGUAGGGUGCGAGCGUUAAUCGGAAUUACUGGGCGUAAAGCGUGCGCAGGCGGUUUUGUAAGACGGAUGUGAAAUCCCCGGGCUUAACCUGGGAACUGCAUUCGUGACUGCAAGGCUAGAGUAUGGCAGAGGGGGGUAGAAUUCCACGUGUAGCAGUGAAAUGCGUAGAGAUGUGGAGGAAUACCGAUGGCGAAGGCAGCCCCCUGGGCCAAUACUGACGCUCAUGCACG